UACGUAGGUGGCAAGCGUUGUCCGGAAUUAUUGGGCGUAAAGCGCGCGCAGGCGGUCCUUUAAGUCUGAUGUGAAAGCCCACGGCUCAACCGUGGAGGGUCAUUGGAAACUGGGGGACUUGAGUACAGAAGAGAAGAGUGGAAUUCAACGUGUAGCGGUGAAAUGCGUAGAGAUGUGGAGGAACACCAGUGGCGAAGGCGACUCUUUGGUCUGUAACUGACGCUGAGGCGCGAAAGCGUGGGGAGCAAACAGG
rnacentral:rRNA from 1 species